AGUCAGAUUUGAUCGCCGGCAUGAAGGGGCGAUUAGGGCUUCAAGGUGUCCGAUCCUUCUUCCUGUUCAUCGACAAGAAUUUCACCGUGCCUAACUGUGAUCUUGAAGUGAUCUUCUUGUUGAUGUUGUCUUAAGCCGGUCCAGUGAGGAGGAAUUCCAGUAUCUUGCUUGAUUGGUGAUCUCCACCGCUUGACCUCCUGUUGAUUCGAUUGAUAUCGGUGGAGGGUUGUUUGCUGUGGAUAGUUACUGUUGCCGAUCACCACUUUCUCCUUCUUGAUCCGGUUGAUUUCAGUGAGGACUCUGAUUUGAGACAGGAGUCUCGACGUUGGAUUUGG